rnacentral:rRNA from 1 species
GGAUUCCCCUAGUAACUGCGAGUGAAGCGGGAAAAGCUCAAAUUUAAAAUCUGGCGGUCUUUGGCCGUCCGAGUUGUAUUUUAGAGAAGCGUCACCCGCGCUGGACCGUGUACAAGUCUCCUGGAAUGGAGCGUCAUAGAGGGUGAGAAUCCCGUCUCUGACACGGACUCCCAGGGCUUUUGUGGUGCGCUCUCAAAGAGUCGAGUUGUUUGGGAAUGCAGCUCUAAAAGGGUGGUAAAUUCCAUCUAAAGCUAAAUAUUGGCGAGAGACCGAUAGCGAACAAGUACCGUGAGGGAAAGAUGAAAAGAACUUUGGAAAGAGAGUUAAACAGUACGUGAAAUUGCUGAAAGGGAAACGCUUGAAGUCAGUCGCGUUGGCCAGGGAUCAGCCUCGCUCUUGUGUGGUGUACUUCCUGGUUGACGGGUCAGCAUCAAUUUCGACCGCUGGAAAAGGGCAUGGGGAAUGUAGCAUCUUCGGAUGUGUUAUAGCCUCUUGUCGCAUACGGCGGUUGGGAUUGAGGAACUCAGCACGCCGCAAGGCCGGGUUUCGACCACGUUCGUGCUUAGGAUGCUGGCAUAAUGGCUUUAAUCGACCCGUCUUGAAACACGGACCAAGGAGUCUAACAUGCCUGCGAGUGUUUGGGUGGAAAACCCGAGCGCGCAAUGAAAGUGAAAGUUGAGAUCCCUGUCGUGGGGAGCAUCGACGCCCGGACCAGAACUUUUGGGACGGAUCUGCGGUAGAGCAUGUAUGUUGGGACCCGAAAGAUGGUGAACUAUGCCUGAAUAGGGUGAAGCCAGAGGAAACUCUGGUGGAGGCUCGUAGCGAUUCUGACGUGCAAAUCGAUCGUCAAAUUUGGGUAUAGGGGCGAAAGACUAAUCGAACCAUCUAGUAGCUGGUUCCUGCCGAAGUUUCCCUCAGGAUAGCAGAAACUCAUAUCAGAUUUAUGUGGUAAAGCGAAUGAUUAGAGGCCUUGGGGUUGAAACAACCUUAACCUAUUCUCAAACUUUAAAUAUGUAAGAACGAGCCGUUUCUUGAUUGAACCGCUCGGCGAUUGAGAG